UUAAGAUUUUAUUGAGCCUAAUUAAGUCUAAUUAAGUUGAGUUUAAUUUAGUCUAAUUGUGCUUAACCUAUUUUGAUUAGGUUGGUUCAAUUAAGAUCAAACCACCAUUUGAAUUUGAAUCCCUGCACCACUUUAAAUCUCUGUGCCCAUUUGAAUUCACGUGAAGAAACUUCUCGUGAAUUUUUUCUCACGUAAAGCCCUUCUCACGCCCACUUUUGUGCACCAUAUGGAUGGAUAAAGCUGAUUAGUUAACCAUUCAAAUUCAAAGCGUGUUUGAAUUUGAAUGGAUAACUUAUCUCUUUUGCCUUCAAGCUUAUCCAUCUUGUGCGCCACAUAAUUCACACGAGAAAAA
rnacentral:lncRNA from 1 species